CCUACGGGGGGCAGCAGUGGGGAAUAUUGCACAAUGGGGGAAACCCUGAUGCAGCGACGCCGCGUGAGUGAAGAAGUAUUUCGGUAUGUUAAGCUCUAUCAGCAGGGAAGAAGCAAGACGGUACCUGACUAAGAAGCCCCGGCGAACUACGUGCCAGCAGCCGCGGUCAUACGUAGGGGGCAAGCGUUAUCCGGAUGUACUGGGGGUAAAGGGAGCGUAGACGGUAUGGCAAGUCUGAUGUGAAAGCCCAGGGCUUAACCCUGGGACUGCUUUGGAAACUGUUAGACUAGAGUGCUGGAGGGGUAUGUGGAAUUCCUAGUGUAGCGGUGAAAUGCAUAGAUAUUAGGAGGAACACCAGUGGCGAAGGCGGCGUACUGGACAGUAACUGACGUUGAGGCACGAAAGCGUGGGGAGCAAACAGGAUUAGAUACCCUAGUAGUC
rnacentral:rRNA from 1 species